CCUGGUGGAGAGGCAGGGGUGGGAGAGAAAGCUCUGAGAAGAGGUGACGAUGUCACAGCUCAGCAGGAAGAAUCGAUGGUCAGUGGGAGGGGGUGAUGCUCAGUGACAAGGAAUAAUAAUAGUCCCCAAAAGCUGUCUGCUGCAGACCGAAUCCCAUCACCCCCCCCCCCAAAUGUAUACACUUAAGUCCUCACCCCCAGCCUCUGAAUGUGCCUGCAUUUAGAGACAGGGCUUUUAGAGAGCUAAUUAAAGUAAAAUGAGAUCAUACGAGUGGAUGAUCCACUAAUCCAAUCUGACUGGUGUCUUUAUAAGAGGAGGAAAUUCGGACCCCAGACAUGCACACUCAUAGAGGAGAGACCAGGUGAGGACGGAGGCGUAAGACAGCCAUUUACAACCCACGGAGAGAGGCCUCAGAUGACACCAAACCCGCCGACACCUUGACCUUGGACUCCCAGCCUCCAGAACUGGGGGAACAUACGUUUCUGGUGCGUCUAAGCCACCAGUCUGUGGUAGGGCCGGAGCAGCCCUAGGAAAUGGAUCAACUGAGCCAAACUCUAGCGAGUUUUCUGCCCACAGUGAUCAUGAACACCCACACCUCUGCAGCAACAGGGACCAGCCCCAGGCUUCAGGAGGCAGAACGUGGCUUCUCGAAUGCUCUAAUGGAGAAGACAGCCCUGUACACCGAGAAAAGUACCUGGCCACCAGUUAGCACUUCACAAAAAUCUGCUGAGCGAUUAAUGAAAUUUAAUCGGAAAGAGCGGUUUCCAUCUCCCCUGCCCAAAUCUCUUAGUAAAAACCAGGCUCUGUAGCCCGUGGCCUGGUAACCCCCUUCAUUCGUUCGCUCAACUCGCGUGCGCUAAUGCUGUGGGUGUCAAGCUCUGUGCACUCCAGAGUACCCAACACCCUCAGUGAGGGGAGCAGGGGGCUGGCGGAGGAGCCCGGAGCGUCAGGACACCUGUAUGAGUGCUUCCUGGGGCCUCGUGAAAACCAAACGAGAUCCCUGACGUGAAGCCGCUCCGCAUCACCGUAAGGCGCUAUGCGCACGGUGAUACCCUGCAGCCGGUCUGAGCCUGUCUUGUUCACUGCCGCAUUCCUAGUGCCCAGACUACGGCAGGCCCUCAAAUACUUGUCGAACCGAACACACCACAGGGUCACACUUCGCGACGCUAGAUGCAGCGCAGAGACGAUAAGCUGGUGGAGUUUUGCAACGCGAGCGCCUUAAAACCCCAAGUCCCUCUAGCCCCGGUGACUGGCAGCAGGUUUUACUUUGUGGCUUCCGGAUCCCACACCACCACGUCGGCAUCGGCCCCAGGGAUGAUGCGGCCCUUGCGGGGAUACAGGUUGAGAAUCUUCGCCGCGUUGGAACUGGUAACGGCCACAAAACGGUUCUCGUCCAUCUUUCCUCCAACCUGAAACAUCGCAACAGUGCCACGUCACCCAAACCCUGCGCGUGCCUCAAAGCCACGGCCACCCUUGACUCGGGCCUGCGGUCUUUUAGUUGGUCACGACAACGGUGCCGAGAAGGACGAUGAUGUGAGCACCGUCUCAGCUGAGCCAAUCUGCUGGCCGGGUUCCCGGCCAUCGCCUCAAUCCUUCCUCCGGCAACAGUGGUGUUAACACAGCAGCAUGCUGAGUGGGAAUUUGUUGGCGACAAAUUGGCGACAAAUUUGUUGGCGACCAGGAGGGAACAUUAAGGACCUGGAUGAAAUAAGUGCCCCUUUUUCUCAAGACAGCCAUCUUCAGUCGGGGCUGGCUACUUUCCUCAAUCAUCCUCACCAUCACCCUCGAAGAGAAGAGGGCUGUCACCUCCCCCCAGGACCCCACUGGCACCCUGAGCCGGGCCAAGACUAUAAGCAAGUAUAAAAACCUUCAGGUGCCGCCCAGUGCUCAGCAGCAGCCGACACACAGGUUCUGUGAAUCCACAGGAAAGAAGCUGAGAAGAGGCAUAGUCAGUUUUCCUCACCUCCUCUGGGCGGCUGAUCUCGAUUCCUUCUGGGCCCGUGAUUCCCAAAUCUAGCGCCUCCUUAGCACCCUGAAUGACAGCAAAAGAAAGAAAAUUGAGAGAACCAUACAGACACGAGAAAAUAACGAACCCCAGGGACACGAAACCAUGCCGGACACCGUGCAUUCCAAUAGGCCUGCCGCUUUGCUCCCUUCUGCAGUAUCCGCCUUCCAAAGAGGGCAGAGUAAGCGUGGGGUUCCCUGGCAGCCAGGCUCUCCUGCACCUCGCUUCCUAAGGACUGAACGUAUUUUCUUCCUCUUAAAAUUCCAGUUCUGUAACUGGCCAAUAGGCUUGGGACAUCAAAGACCACCGGUCUGAAAAAUCAGAAUUUCCCCACCGGAAAUCUAGUCAAAUCUCUAGUUCCCAGCAGCACCUAGAAUAACCCUUACCAAGCAUCCUAUUUAAGAUCCAGGAGGUACAAAGGGACUCAUCUACCAGUGAGCAGAUUGCUAUAAUAUCUCAGUUCCUCGGGGGUGGCGGGGGAGAGGUGAUAGGAAAGCGGAGGAAAGAGGAGAGCUGACUGUCAUUUAUUCUGAUGUCAAAUCUCAUUAAAAAUAUUUCUUAGGGGUGCUCCAAGUUCUUUUGCUAUCAUGGAAUUUAAAUACCAUAUCACCAGAACUAAG